rnacentral:rRNA from 1 species
AUGGCGCUGACCCGUGGGUUCAUCUUCCUCUUCCCCGCCGCCGUCCUGGCCGGACUCGCCUCCGCCUCCGCGUCGCCCUUCCUGUCUGAUAACGUAUUCCAGGCCAGCACCGGAUCUACAGGGAGGAGUUUGCUGCAGACCAAUAAUGGCUGCCCUAUGAGCUUUGAGUCCCAGGACUACACAAUCAUCACAAGCAGGUGCAAAGCGCCACAGUAUCCUCCUAAAGAAUGCUGUGAUGCUUUCAAGGAAUUUGCAUGCCCAUUUGCCGUCUACAUCAACAAUCAAAGCACCAACUGUGCAGACGCUAUGUUUUCCUACAUCAACUUCCAUGGCUCGUACCCAGCAGGCCUAUUCGGCGCUGAGUGCGUCAAAGGGAAGGAAGGGGUUUCCUGCGAAGGCGUCCCAGGGAAAGGCACCGGCGUGGCAAGUGGCGGGCGGCGAGCUCAAGGGAGUUCCCGUUCUUUGGUUCCUAUCUUGUGUGGACUAGAAGCACUGUUGUUCCAUUGA